GGGGGUGCUAAUACAUGCAAGUCGAGCGAACGGAUAAGGAGCUUGCUCCUUUGAAGUUAGCGGCGGACGGGUGAGUAACACGUGGGUAACCUACCUAUAAGACUGGAAUAACUUCGGGAAACCGGAGCUAAUGCCGGAUAACAUUUGGAACCGCAUGGUUCUAAAGUAAAAGAUGGUUUUGCUAUCACUUAUAGAUGGACCCGCGCCGUAUUAGCUAGUUGGUAAGGUAACGGCUUACCAAGGCAACGAUACGUAGCCGACCUGAGAGGGUGAUCGGCCACACUGGAACUGAGACACGGUCCAGACUCCUACGGGAGGCAGCAGUAGGGAAUCUUCCGCAAUGGACGAAAGUCUGACGGAGCAACGCCGCGUGAGUGAUGAAGGUUUUCGGAUCGUAAAACUCUGUUAUUAGGGAAGAACAAAUGUGUAAGUAACUGUGCACAUCUUGACGGUACCUAAUCAGAAAGCCACGGCUAACUACGUGCCAGCAGCCGCGGUAAUACGUAGGUGGCAAGCGUUAUCCGGAAUUAUUGGGCGUAAAGCGCGCGUAGGCGGUUUCUUAAGUCUGAUGUGAAAGCCCACGGCUCAACCGUGGAGGGUCAUUGGAAACUGGGAAACUUGAGUACAGAAGAGGAAAGUGGAAUUCCAUGUGUAGCGGUGAAAUGCGCAGAGAUAUGGAGGAACACCAGUGGCGAAGGCGACUUUCUGGUCUGUAACUGACGCUGAUGUGCGAAAGCGUGGGGAUCAAACAGGAUUAGAUACCCUGGUAGUCCACGCCGUAAACGAUGAGUGCUAAGUGU
rnacentral:rRNA from 1 species